CAGUCGCCGCGGUAAUACGUAGGGUGCAAGCGUUAAUCGGAAUUACUGGGCGUAAGGCGUGCGCAGGCGGUUUGUUAAGACAGAUGUGAAAUCCCCGGGCUCAACCUGGGAACUGCAUUUGUGACUGGCAAGCUAGAGUAUAGCAGAGGGGGGUGGAAUUCCGCGUGUAGCAGUGAAAUGCGUAGAUAUGCGGAGGAACACCGAUGGCGAAGGCAGCCCCCUGGGCCAAUACUGACGCUCAUGCACGAAAGCGUGGGGAGCAAACAGGAUUAGAUACCCCCGUAGUCCCUGUCUCUUAUAC
rnacentral:rRNA from 1 species